GUGUACUUGGCUCAAUGGUUAGAGCAUCACUCAUGAAUGCUGAGUAUGUGAGUUUGACUCUCACAGUACACG
rnacentral:tRNA from 1 species